rnacentral:ncRNA from 2 species
UAAUUAAAAGGAAAUGGUGUUCUUCCUUGCCCAACCGCUUUUAAAAAAAGCUGAUGACGCCUGAUUAAAU